UUGAACGCUGGCGGCAGGCCUAACACAUGCAAGUCGAACGGUAACAGGGAUCAGCUUGCUGCUUCGCUGACGAGUGGCGGACGGGUGAGUAAUGUCUGGGAAACUGCCUGAUGGAGGGGGAUAACUACUGGAAACGGUAGCUAAUACCGCAUAACGUCGCAAGACCAAAGAGGGGGACCUUCGGGCCUCUUGCCAUCGGAUGUGCCCAGAUGGGAUUAGCUAGUAGGUGGGGUAACGGCUCACCUAGGCGACGAUCCCUAGCUGGUCUGAGAGGAUGACCAGCCACACUGGAACUGAGACACGGUCCAGACUCCUACGGGAGGCAGCAGUGGGGAAUAUUGCACAAUGGGCGCAAGCCUGAUGCAGCCAUGCCGCGUGUAUGAAGAAGGCCUUCGGGUUGUAAAGUACUUUCAGCGGGGAGGAAGGGAGUAAAGUUAAUACCUUUGCUCAUUGACGUUACCCGCAGAAGAAGCACCGGCUAACUCCGUG
rnacentral:rRNA from 1 species